UGAUUUGCCAUGGGGGGACCCUGAUGCAGCAACGCCGCGUGAGUGAAGAAGGCUUUCGAGUCGUAAAACUCUGUUGUAAGGGAAGAUAAUGACGGUACCUUAAAAGAAAGCCCCGGCUAACUACGUGCCAGCAGCCGCGGUAAUACGUAGGGGGCAAGCGUUAUCCGGAAUAACUGGGCGUAAAGGGUGCGCAGGUGGUCUGUCAAGUUAGUGGUGAAAGGCAUAGGCUCAACCAAUGUAAGCCAUUAAAACUGACGGACUUGAGUGCAGGAGAGGAAAGUGGAAUUCCUAGUGUAGCGGUGAAAUGCGUAGAUAUUAGGAGGAAUACCGGUGGCGAAGGCGACUUUCUGGACUGUAACUGACACUGAGGCACGAAAGCGUGGA
rnacentral:rRNA from 1 species